CCUACGGGAGGCAGCAGUAGGGAAUCUUCCGCAAUGGACGAAAGUCUGACGGAGCAACGCCGCGUGAACGAUGAAGGCCUUCGGGUCGUAAAGUUCUGUUGUUAGGGAAGAACAAGUGCUAGUUGAAUAAGCUGGCACCUUGACGGUACCUAACCAGAAAGCCACGGCUAACUACGUGCCAGCAGCCGCGGUAAUACGUAGGUGGCAAGCGUUGUCCGGAAUUAUUGGGCGUAAAGCGCGCGCAGGCGGUUUCUUAAGUCUGAUGUGAAAGCCCCCGGUUCAACCGGGGAGGGUCAUUAGAAACUGGGAAACUUGAGUGCAGAAGAGGAAAGUGGAAUUCCAAGUGUAGCGGUGAAAUGCGUAGAGAUUUGGAGGAACACCAGUGGCGAAGGCGACUUUCUGGUCUGUAACUGACGCUGAGGCGCGAAAGCGUGGGGAGCAAACAGGAUUAGAUACCCUGGUAGUCCACGCUGUAAACGAUGAGUGCUAAGUGUUAGAGGGUUUCCGCCCUUUAGUGCUGAAAGUUAACGCAUUAAGCACUCCGCCUGGGGAUACGGUCGCAAGACUGAAACUUAANGAAUGACGNNGAGAGNGCGAGACGACACGAGGAGAG
rnacentral:rRNA from 1 species